AAGCCUGAAUACUACCUGUUGACCGAUAGCGGAUCAGUACCGUGAGGGAAUGGUGAAAAGUACCCCGGGAGGGGAGUGAAAUAGUACCCUGAAACCAUGUGCCUACAAACCGUUGGAGCCUUCUUGUGGGGUGACAGCGUGCCUUUUGAAGAAUGAGCCUGCGAGUUAGUGAUACGUGGCGAGGUUAACCCGUGUGGGGAAGCCGUAGCGAAAGCGAGUCUGAAUAGGGCGAUUGAGUCGCGUGUCCUAGACCCGAAGCGGAGUGAUCUACCCAUGGCCAGGUUGGAGCGCGUGUAAGAGCGCGUGGAGGACCGAACCCACUUCAGUUGAAAAUGGAGGGGAUGAGCUGUGGGUAGGGGGUGAAAGGCCAAUCAAACUCCGUGAUAGCUGGUUCUCCCCGAAAUGCAUUUAGGUGCAGCGUCACGUGUUUCUUCCCGGAGGUAGAGCUACUGGAUGGACGAUGGGCCCUACAAGGUUACUGACUUCAGCCAAACUCCGAAUGCCGGGAAGUGAGAGCGUGGCAGUGAGACUGUGGGGGGAUAAGCUUCAUAGUCGAGAGGGAAACAGCCCAGCCACCGGUUAAGGCCCCUAGCGUGUGCUAAGUGGGAAAGGGAAUGUGGAGUUGCUGAGACAACCAGGGAGGUUGGCUUAGAAGCAG
rnacentral:rRNA from 1 species